rnacentral:rRNA from 1 species
GACGAACGCUGGCGGCAUGCUUAACACAUGCAAGUCGAACGGAAAGGCCCUGCUUUUGUGGGGUGCUCGAGUGGCGAACGGGUGAGUAACACGUGAGUAACCUGCCCUUGACUUUGGGAUAACUUCAGGAAACUGGGGCUAAUACCGGAUAGGAGCUCCUGCUGCAUGGUGGGGGUUGGAAAGUUUCGGCGGUUGGGGAUGGACUCGCGGCUUAUCAGCUUGUUGGUGGGGUAGUGGCUUACCAAGGCUUUGACGGGUAGCCGGCCUGAGAGGGUGACCGGCCACAUUGGGACUGAGAUACGGCCCAGACUCCUACGGGAGGCAGCAGUGGGGAAUAUUGCACAAUGGGCGGAAGCCUGAGGCAGCAACGCCGCGUGCGGGAUGACGGCCUUCGGGUUGUAAACCGCUUUCGCCUGUGACGAAGCGUGAGGGACGGUAAUGGGUAAAGAAGCACCGGCUAACUACGU